rnacentral:tRNA from 1 species
GUUAGCGUGGCAGAGCCCGGGAAUUGCAGAAGACCUAAGCUCUUCAAACAGGGGUUCAAUUCCCCUCCCUAACU